rnacentral:rRNA from 1 species
GUGAGGAAUAUUGGUCAAUGGACGGAAGUCUGAACCAGCCAUGCCGCGUGCAGGAAUAAGGUCCUAUGGAUUGUAAACUGCUUUUAUUCGGGAAUAAACCUCUUUACGUGUAGGGAGCUGAAGGUACCGAAGGAAUAAGCACCGACUAACUCCGUGCCAGCAGCCGCGGUAAUACGGAGGGUGCAAGCGUUAUCCGGAAUCAUUGGGUUUAAAGGGUCCGCAGGCGGGCUAUCAAGUCAGAGGUGAAAUCCUGCAGCUUAACUGUAGACUUGCCAUUGAUACUGGCGCUCUUGAGUGCGCUUGAAGUGGGCGGAAUGUGCCGUGUAGCGGUGAAAUGCUUAGAUAUGCUACGGAACACCGAUUGCGAAGGCAGCUUACUAUUUCAUGAUUGACGCUGAGGCACGAAAGCGUGGGUAGCGAACAGGAUUAGAAACCCUAGUAGUCC